rnacentral:rRNA from 1 species
AUGGGGCUGUCACUCAAUAUAGAUAUAUCUGCAACAUCCUUCUUCAAGCCUGUGACAGUGGUCCAGUUUGUGCUAGAGUUCCUCAACUUACGUGAUGCCUCGCGGCCUCUGACAGACAGGGACCGUGUUAAGAUAAAGAAAGCACUCCGUGGGGUGCGUGUCGAAACAAACCACCAGGAAGACCAAAUCAGAAGAUACAAGAUAACAGGGAUUACUCCUGUUCCCAUGAGCCAGCUCAUAUUUCCUGUUGAUGAGAGAGGAACAAGAAUGUCAGUUGUUCAGUACUUCAUGCAAAGAUACAAAUACAACCUGCAGUAUACUUCUUGGCCCUGCUUGCAGUCUGGAAGUGAUGCUCGGCCUGUGUAUCUGCCUAUGGAGGCGUGCAAGAUUGUUGAAGGGCAAAGGUACUCUAAGAAACUGAAUGACAAGCAGGUCACCAACAUACUUAGAGCUACCUGUCAACGUCCCCAGCAGAGGGAGCAAAGCAUUCGUGAGAUGGUUCUGCACAACAAGUAUGCUGAGGACAAGUUUGCUCAGGAGUUCGGUAUCAACGUCUGCAGUGACCUGGUCUCUGUUCCAGCCCGUGUGCUGCCUCCCCCCAUGUUGAGAUAUCAUGAUUCUGGAAAGGAGAAAACUUGUGCGCCAAGUGUUGGACAGUGGAGCAUGAUUAACAAGUUUUCACACUAG